AUUAAAAACAAAACUAUGCUUUUUUUCCACGUAACAGUCGAAGCAGGCGAAACACCCGCUUUCCCUUAACUCUGCCGUGAGUUAGCUAAUUCACUGAAAGACAGUUGACCAGAAAUCUUGAUGCUGCCUAAAGUCUCUACCCUGAUUGCUACGGUACGGUGACGUGCGACAUUGUGGAUUCAGGAAGCACAAGCAAAUGCUACCAUUUACGGAGUGCGACUGUUCGGCGGAAUCUGUUUCGAGUACGCAAACCGCUUUGUUGAUACGAACAAUUAGCUACCUGGUAAAGGGGCUCACAAGCAAAUUUCUCUGAUGUCUUAAUUCCGGUCAAAUCGGAACGUAAUGUUGCCGGAAUCUGUCCAAGAAAAUUGUGGACAAAUGUUCUAGCUGUCCUAACUGAGUCCGUACCAAGAGCUGAUUAAGGCAUCGGUGCCGUAAAUAUACGUGGACAACGAAUACACUCAUCACCAGAAACCGUUGCAAAAGGCGAUUACAACUGGGUCUGCCCUAUUUGGCACUCUAGGCACGUUUCUUGCGCGGCGUCUCAGCGGAGGACGGGUACACACCCUCUAUAACCCGUUUUAGUACUACAGGUUCAGGCCGAACGUAACGCUAUCAGAAUACAGAAAAAUACUACGAAGCAUCCAAAGUGAUUUCCACCUUCCGC